rnacentral:lncRNA from 1 species
CGUUAUCUCAGCUCCCAUGACUGCCAGUGUCAGUGCCAGGAACACAUUCUAGGCCCAGGGUCACACCAGGGUCAGGGCCAGGUUCACAGCAGGGUCAGGGCCAGGUUCACAGCAGGGUUAGGGCCAGGUUCACACCAGGGUCAGGGCCAGGUUCACAGCAGGGUCAGGGCCAGGUUCACAGCAGGGUCAGGGCCAGGCUCACAGCAGGGUCAGGGCCAGGUUCACACCAGGGUCAGGGCCAGGCUCACACCAGGGCCAGGUUCACAGCAGGGUCAGGGCCAAGUUCACAGCAGGGUCAGUGCCAGGUUCACACCAUGGCCAGGUUCACACCAGGGUCAGGGCCAGGUUCACACUGGGGUCAGGGCCAGGUUCACACCAUGGCCAGUUUUACACCAGGGUCAGGGCCAGGUUCACACCAGGGUCAGGGCCAGGUUCACACCAGGGUCAGAGCCAGGUGCACACCAGGGCCAGGUGCACACCAGGGUCAGGGCCAGGUUCACAGCAGGAUCAGUGCCAGGUUCACACCGAGGUCAGGGCCAGGUUCACACCAGGGUCAGAGCUAGGUUCACACCAGGGUUAGGGCCAGCUUCACACCAGGAUCAGGGUCAGGUUCACACUGGGGGCAGGGGCAGGCUCACACCAGGGUCAGGCCAGGCUCACACCGGGGGCAGGAUCAGGUUCACACCAGGGUCAGGGCAGGCUCCCACCGGGUCAGGUUCACACCAUGGGCAGGGGAAGGUUCACACCGGGGUCAAGGCCAGACUCACACCGGGGGCAGGAUCAGGUUCACACCGGGGUCAGGGCAGGCUCCCACUGGGUCAGGUUCACACCAGGGUCAGGGCCAGGUUCACACCAGGGGCAGGGGCAGGUUCACACCGGGGUCAGCCUGUGUUGUGAGCGCAGCUCCCACCGCCUGAGGCUCAUUUCCUCACCCAAAGGCUCGCUGGCCUGGGGCUCAGGACACGCUGCAGCUGCUGUGUGAGACCAGGCAAGUCCAGUGGUGUCCAGACAGCUGGGCUGGGGCUCUCAGCCUUGCUCCCCAGAGCACAGGGCCGGGGGCUGGGAGGGAGUGCCCUCCUCAAAGAAGGAAGCCCCUGGACUCUCCCUCACCCCAACCAAUCGACUCCUUGGAGUCAUUGAGCAAAGAGUUCCAGGUUUAGAAAAAAAAUCAGUGAGUCUGUCCGAGCCCUCCCUCUCUGUCUUCCUAAAGAAGGAAUUACAGUGUUUGAUCCAGUUUCAUCAUAAUUACUCCCAUAUUUCUGUGUUAGUUUGUAAAAGACCUGGAAAUCUACUCUUUGCAAGCACAACACCAAGCAUUGUCAAGAGAAGCAGACAUGGGGGAGCAGAGACCCC